rnacentral:rRNA from 1 species
UACGUAGGUGACAAGCGUUGUCCGGAUUUACUGGGCGUAAAGAGCGCGCAGGCGGUCGUUCAAGUCGAGUGUGAAAGCCCCCGGCUCAACUGGGGAGGGUCAUUCGAUACUGAUCGACUCGAAGGCAGGAGAGGGAAGUGGAAUUCCCGGUGUAGUGGUGAAAUGCGUAGAUAUCGGGAGGAACACCAGUGGCGAAGGCGACUUCCUGGCCUGUUCUGACGCUGAGGCGCGAAAGCUAGGGGAGCAAACGGG